UGGCUCGCUACAGCGCUUGCGUACAACUACAAGGGCGGGUGCUGGGGUUGAGGCUUUGAAUUAAUGCUGCAGGCACUGCACCUGUUGCUGUUGAGAUGGAGCAGCAGACUAGUAAUCCUACUGACCAAAAAGUUUCAGGUGCUCAAGAACUUCAGAAGCCAGCUAUCUGGGACUGGAAACAUCUGUUCUUCCUUCUGUCAUUGUCCUUCCUUGUAGGGAUAAGUCCCACCCCUUAGGGGGCGUGUUCGCCUCAGGCUAAAGUUUGCCUAUAAAUUUGGCGAGCAUGCUCCCAGCCCUCGCUUCUGCUUUCCUGGUCUCCACGGGAAUGGUGGUUCUGUAAGUGUAUUCCUCCAUUAAAGCUGUCUAUAUUUUGACAAUCUGUCUGCAUUUGCUUACGCCGUUACAUUUUGGUGCCCAACGUGGGGCUAUUUUGCCCCCGACUCAAGCGCAUAGCCUGCUAGCUAACACAGCAUGCUACUGGGUGUCAUUUU